rnacentral:rRNA from 1 species
GGACGAACGCUGGCGGCGUGCCUAAUACAUGCAAGUCGAACGGUCUUUCUAUGGAAGCUUGCUUCCACUGAGAAGAUAGUGGCGAACGGGUGAGUAACACGUGGGUAACCUGCCCAUAAGAGGGGGGAUAACAUCCGGAAACGGGUGCUAAUACCGCAUAGUUUUCUUGGUCGCAUGAUCGGGAAAGGAAAGACGGCCUUUGUGCUGUCGCUUAUGGAUGGACCCGCGGCGUAUUAGUUAGUUGGUGAGGUAACGGCUCACCAAGACGAUGAUACGUAGCCGACCUGAGAGGGUGAUCGGCCACAUUGGGACUGAGACACGGCCCAAACUCCUACGGGAGGCAGCAGUAGGGAAUCUUCCGCAAUGGACGAAAGUCUGACGGAGCAACGCCGCGUGAGUGAAGAAAAGGUUUUCGGAUCGUAAAACUCUGUUGUCAGAGAAGAACAAGUUGGAGAGUAACUGCUCCAGCCUUGACGGUAUCUGACCAGAAAGCCACGGCUAACUACGUGCCAGCAGCCGC